AGGGCACCACCAGGAGUGGAGCCUGCGGCUUAAUUUGACUCAACACGGGAAAACUCACCCGGCCCGGACACUGGAAGGAUUGACAGAUUGAGAGCUCUUUCUUGAUUCAGUGGGUGGUGGUGCAUGGCCGUUCUUAGUUGGUGGAGUGAUUUGUCUGGUUAAUUCCGAUAACGAACGAGACUCUAGCCUAUUAAAUAGAUCGUUGGCUUACAAACGCCGGCGAGACUUCUUAGAGGGACAGGCGGCGAUUCAGCCGCACGAAACAGAGCAAUAACAGGUCUGUGAUGCCCUUAGAUGUCCGGGGCCGCACGCGCGCUACACUGAAGUGAUCAGCGUGCAUUUUGAAACCUACUCUGUCAAGAGUGGGGAACCCAAUGAACCUUCUUCGUGAUUGGGAUAGGGGAUUGUAAUUAUUCCCCUUGAACGAGGAAUUCCCAGUAAGCGCGAAUCAUAAGUCUGCGCUGAUUACGUCCCUGCCCUUUGUACACACCGCCCGUCGCUACUACCGAUUGAAUGUUU
rnacentral:rRNA from 1 species